AAGUUAAUAUUAGAUGCGAGCAUAUCAGUUGGCUUUGCCAUUAUAUGCCUAGAUAAACCAAUUAUGAAAUAAUGAAUUAGUAUCUAAAAUUAGACCCGAAGCCUGGUGAUCUUACUACAGUCAGGGUUAUAAAAGCCCGAACGGUUUAUCGUUGUAAAGAUAUCCGAAGAACUGUGGUAAGUUAGUGAAAGACAAAACUGACUAGGAUA
rnacentral:rRNA from 1 species